GUCCGGGAAGCCGUUGCGACAUGCGGGCUGGGAACCGCCUCACCUCCAGGGGGGACCGCGGCGGCCCGCUAGACUCUGGUCGGGUCUGGAGUAUUGGGCCCUCUGGCCGGACUCGGUGCUCCUCAGGCCCCAGCGCCCGGCACUGAGCCUCGCAUCCACAUUCGCAGAGUAAACCCAACAAGUGUUGAAUGAAUGAGGUUCCCCGGGCCCCGGCUGUCACUGGGCUCUGCGCCAGGCCAAGAGCCGAAGGCGGGGGAGGAAGAUGUCGAAAUGGGCGGGAUGAUUCACAGAUGACGGCCGGUGGCGAGGCGGGGCUGGAGGCCGCAUCCCAAAGGCAGCAGGGAAGUGCGGCGGCUGUGGGGAAGCUCGGACGCACGGCCUGGCCGAGUCUGAAGCAUCAGUAUUUUGUCCCUGAGCCGGCGCGCUGAUGGGUCCCCCGCCUGGCGAUGAGGGCUUCUCCCUCCCUCGGGUCAGCCCGGGUCCUGAGAGGCAAGGCCAGCGAUUCCCGGCCUUAGGACCUCCUGCUCUAGGGAGCACGGGCGUCUUCUUCCAUUUGCCUUCCCCGAGCGUGUUGGCACAAGCUGCCCGCGGUUUCCAGCUCUGUCUUCUCUGUUUUACCCAGAUGAUGCAACUGUGGACUUCUCCAUCUGUUCAUAGGUUUUCCUUGGAUAGGAAAGAUGUUUUCCUUUUUUCUUUCUAAAGUUUAGCUCUUCUCUGGGCUUCCUUUUUAAAAACUUUUUCUACUCUCUUCAGCAGUUGUUAUUAACCUUUAGGUCGCGACCGUUUGGAAAAUAAUAAAACUACGAAUUCUCUUCUCCUA
rnacentral:lncRNA from 1 species